rnacentral:lncRNA from 1 species
GACAGCCCUUCCCCGGGAUGCAGUGGGAGGUGUGGGGGCUGCCUCCUGCUCGUUUUUAGCAAGAGAACAUCUCUACAGCUCCCCGUACCACUUUCUGCAAAAUGACAACCAGCAUAUGACUUGGGUUUGAAAUCCUUGCAGCUGAUGGAAAAACAAUUAAGAUCUCAUUAAAAUUCUAUGUAGAGAGCCAAGAAAAGGAAGAUAAUGUCAAAGGAAAGGUGAUACGUAGGACAGUAUGGAGAAUUCUCUUAAGUUAAGCCUGUCAUUAGGCGGGAGCACAGAAGGUGCUAAUUGUACAGUGCGUUUCAUUCAUCCCACAAAGAAUAAUUAACACUUUCCCUUCUGCCUUCCUUUCAUUGAAAUGAAUGGAUUCGGGACAUAUGUUCUCUUCUUCAGGCAGGAGUUGUUUUAUGCUGGCUUUGCAUGGGCAGAAGAAUUUUACUGCUGUUUCCUCACCUGCUGGCUGUUGAUACGGAAUUGUAAUUAAUCAUGUGAGGCACUGCUGAUUUCAUUAAUCUCCUUGUGUCUGUUGCUGUUGCAGAAAUUGUUGACCUGAGAUGGGGAAGCAUUGGAAGAAGAGUGCACUUACUUCCAGCAUCUCUGAUAGUCACACGUGUGGUACCGUUGUGCCUAACUGCUGCUGUUUGCCAAACCAUUCUGCAGGCUCCAUCGGCUGCCUCGGUGUCCUGUUGUAAGGGAACUGGGGGAGGUAAGUGCCACGCUUCACAUAUAAGGUACAAAUCAUGUUAUUUGUGUGAUCUCCUGGUUUAUAUAUUCCAUAUAUUUCCUUAUUUUAGUUUUACUACUUACUCUUGCUAUAAACCAAGGGUGUUAGUGCAUACUUCCUCUCUUCCUAGACCUGAACACCCAAAGGCGCAGCGAGUUUUUACCAAGCAUUUCUUAAAGAACAACUCAGUAUGAGAAACCCUCUCACAAAACCCACACAAAUCCCUGUAAUCAGCCCUGCCAAUUCACUGCAGACUGCAAACAGCUAUAGACAGGAUUCCAAACAGUUAAUUUCAAAUAGCUCAUUUUCUCUCAUCUCUGCACAAAUUCCUGUCAUGUUGCAUUACAUGUAAACAACUCAGAAACUUAAUGACAUGCCUUUCAGUCAAAAACUGGUAUGGCUUUUCAGUCUGAGCAGAUUAAUUGCAGUUUGUAACAAUAUAGACUGAUGCAGUCUGAUUAGGGUUCCUAUU